rnacentral:rRNA from 1 species
AACGAACGCUGGCGGCAUGCCUAACACAUGCAAGUCGAACGAGACCUUCGGGUCUAGUGGCGCACGGGUGCGUAACGCGUGGGAAUCUGCCCUUCGGUUGGGAAUAACUGAGAGAAAUUUCAGCUAAUACCUUAUAAUGUCUUCGGACCAAAGAUUUAUCGCCGAGGGAUGAGCCCGCGUAGGAUUAGGUAGUUGGUGGGGUAAUGGCCUACCAAGCCGACGAUCCUUAGCUGGUCUGAGAGGAUGAUCAGCCACACUGGGACUGAGACACGGCCCAGACUCCUACGGGAGGCAGCAGUGGGGAAUAUUGGACAAGGGGCGAAAGCCUGAUCCAGCAAUGCCGCGUGAGUGAUGAAGGCCUUAGGGUUGUAAAGCUCUUUUACCCGGGAUGAUAAUGACAGUACCGGGAGAAUAAGCUCCGGCUAACUCCGUG